CCUACGGGAGGCAGCAGUGAGGAAUAUUGGUCAAUGGACGCAAGUCUGAACCAGCCAUGCCGCGUGCAGGAAGACGGCUCUAUUAGGUGUAAACUGCUUUUGUACGAGGGUAAACGCAGAUACGCGUAUCUGUCUGAAAGUAUCGUACGAAUAAGGAUAGGAUAACUACGUGCCAGCAGCCGCGGUAAGACGGAGGAUUCAAGCGUGAUCCGGAUUUAUUGGGUUUAAAGGAUGAGUAGGCGGUCGGAUAAGUUAGAGGUCAAAUCCCGAGGCUCAACUUCGGAAUUGACUCUGAUACUGUUCGGCUAGAGAUUAGUUGCGGUAGGCGGAAUGUAUGGUGUAGCGGUGAAAUGCUUAGAGAUCAUACAGAACACCGAUUGCGAAGGCAGCUUACCAAGCUACUUCUGACGUUGAGGCACGAAAGCGUGGGGAGCAAACAGGAUUAGAUACCCGGGUAGUC
rnacentral:rRNA from 1 species